UUAAUUGAAGCCAAAACAGAGGCUUAUUAUUGUUAAUAAUAAAAUUAUAGAUCUUAUCAAUUAAA
rnacentral:tRNA from 1 species